rnacentral:rRNA from 1 species
AUUGAACGCUGGCGGAAUGCUUUACACAUGCAAGUCGAACGGCAGCACGGACUUCGGUCUGGUGGCGAGUGGCGAACGGGUGAGUAACAUAUCGGAACGUAUCCAAUAAUGGGGGAUAACGAGUCGAAAGAUUCGCUAAUACCGCAUACGCCCUACGGGGGAAAGCUGGGGACCUUCGGGCCUGGCGUUAAUGGAGCGGCCGAUAUCUGAUUAGCUAGUUGGUGAGGUAAAGGCUCACCAAGGCGACGAUCAGUAGCUGGUCUGAGAGGACGACCAGCCAAACUGGAACUGAGACACGGGCCAGACUCCUACGGGAGGCAGCAGUGGUGAAUUUUGGACAAUGGGCGCAAGCCUGAUCCAGCCAUUCCGCGUGAGUGAAGAAGGCCUUCGGGUUGUAAAGCUCUUUCGCAAGGGAAGAAAACUUAGCCACUAACAUUGGUUGAGGUUGACGGUACCUUUAUAAGAAAGCAUCGGCUAACUCUGUGCCAGCAGCCGCGGUAA